rnacentral:rRNA from 1 species
AUACGGAGGAUGCAAGCGUUAUCCGGAUUUAUUGGGUUUAAAGGGUGCGCAGGCGGAAUGGUAAGUCAGUGGUGAAAUCUCUCGGCUCAACCGGGAAACUGCCGUUGAUACUGCCGUUCUAGAGUACAGUUGGGGUGGGCGGAAUGUGUCAUGUAGCGGUGAAAUGCUUAGAUAUGACACAGAACACCGAUCGCGAAGGCAGCUCACCAAGUUGUAACUGACGCUCAUGCACGAAAGCGUGGGGAGCAAACAGGAUUAGAUACCCUGGUAGUCCACGCCGUAAACGAUGAUCACUCGUUGUUGGCGAUACACAGUCAGCGGCUGAGCGAAAGCAUUAAGUGAUCCACCUGGGGAGUACGACCGCAAGGUUGAA